rnacentral:rRNA from 1 species
UACGUAGGGGGCAAGCGUUGUCCGGAAUCAUUGGGCGUAAAGCGCGUGUAGGCGGUUACGUAAGUCUGCUGUGAAAGCCGGAGGCUCAACCUUCGAAAGCCGGUGGAUACUGCGUGACUAGAGUACGGAAGAGGAGAGUGGAAUUCCUGGUGUAGCGGUGAAAUGCGCAGAUAUCAGGAGGAACACCUAUAGCGAAGGCAGCUUGCUGGGACGUUACUGACGCUAAGGCGCGAAAGCGUGGGGAGCGAACAGG